UACAGAGGUCCCAAGCGUUGUUCGGAUUCAUUGGGCGUAAAGGGCUCGUAGGCGGAUCUGUAAGUCUGACGUGAAAUCUCCACCGCUUAACGGGGAGAGGUCGCUGGAUACUGCAGAUCUGGAGUUCGGCAGAGGACCAUGGAAUUUCGGGUGUAGCGGUGGAAUGCGUAGAUAUCGGGGAGGAACACCAAUGGCGAAGGCAGCUCGCUGGGACGUUACUGACGCUGGAGACGCGAAAGCGUGGGGAGCAAACAGG
rnacentral:rRNA from 1 species